GCAGGCUGAAAUUACGCCUGCAUGAAGCCGGAAUUGCUAGUAAUGGCAGGUCAGCAUACUGCCGUGAAUACGUUCCCGGGCCUUGUACACACCGCCCGUCACACCAUGAGAGUUGGGGAUACCCGAAGCCUGUGAGCCAACUUUUAGAGGCAGCAGUCGAAGGUAGAAUCAAUGAUUGGGGUGAAGUCGUAACAAGGUAUC
rnacentral:rRNA from 1 species